GUCGAUUUACAGAUGGCAAAAGCAGUUUACACUUAGCGAUGAACAGCAACACUCCAGAAAUGAUUCAAACAAUUUAUGAAAAGUUCCCACAUUUAAUGAUGGAACGUGAUGUCAAUAAUCAAACACCUAUAGAUAUUGCAUUUCAACAAGGAAAUGAUGAAGUAAUUGAAACAACAUUUAGACUUAUUAUAGGUGAUUAUGAUUCCUCGCAUUCCAUGCCUUUGCAAGCUGUUUUUUAUGAAGCAGUCUAUUAUAAGUGGGCUGCAACCAGAUGUGCAUUAACACAAUCCCUUGAUGCAAUACGGGAUCAUAGCGAAGAUAACAUUGUUUUGUACCUUACAAUGAGAUUCAUAAAUCGACUAUAUUUUUAAAAAAGUUCAAGGGAAAACGAAGACGAUGCUUUGAAAUUAAUUGGUAUUGCGAUUAAUUUAAUUAUUUCGAAAUUUGAGGAAAACCCUAUCGUUGUGGAAUGUCUUGGAAUAUUAGUGCAAUCCUUCAACAAGUAUAAAACGUGUAAAAUUAUGAUUAAAGAAGCAUUUACAUCUAUAUCAGAAGUCGUUCAUAAUAAACCCGACGUGUCAUAUAUCUUUGACACUCUUCUUCGUUUAUUUCAAAUCUUUAAAUUUCAUAUUGAUCCAAGUGGAUAUAAACUAUUGCAUAGUCAUGCGUUCGACGUAAUGCAUUAUUGUUUAGAUAAUACUCCUGGAGUUUCACAUGAUUUAAAAUCUCCAAUUUACGCAAUCAAAUUACUUCAUCGAUGUCAUAAAUAUAGCAAACUUGAAUUUGACUUAGUUCAGAACACAAUAGCAGUGAUCCUUUCUGAAAAAAAGGACAUGCUUAAUUUAUGUGCCGAAGUUUUUGUUUCGCUCUAUAUAACCAAGGAACAUUUUGAGGAAUUUCGAAAGGAGCAAAAUACAACAAAACAAGGGAAAAUCAUUGAGAAAAUAAUAAAAUC